ensembl:lncRNA
GGCUGGACGUGUGUGAUUAUUUCUGUUACCCAGUUGCUGAUUGCCAGACAUGACCUUAUCUCAUCAUAAGGGGACCUUUUUCUGUGAGAAUGAUUCACACAUUCUUUGGAGCAGCUGAUGUGGUUGUGAGAGAGCAGCUGGAGCCAAACCCUGUCAGAUGCGGCUCUGUCUAAAGUGCUUUGUCGUUUGUCCUUGGUCUUCCGUCACAUGGAGUAAAUCAACAGAAUGGGAAUAAUGGAUGAUAGAUGGUUGUCGAAGGAGAGCACUCUACUCCCUGUAGAGAUCUGGUAUAGUUUUACAUCCCUCCUGUGUCAAAUCCACAUACACACACCAGCCCUGCAGCUGAGCCCCUCCCCCCAGGUUAGCCAGAAUGGCCCAGCUGAAAUGGCGCCUCUGGUCGCAGCCGGACAUAGUGACCAAGCACUUUCAGCCUCUUGCAUCAGAUAUGGUCAUCCUGGCUGUUUGUCAGGAAACUAUUCUUCUAUUAAUAGCACUGGGCAUGUGUUCCUGGGAUAGACAUAGCUUGUCCAUCCACAACAUCUCUUUCUAUAAGUAUUGUUAUUUCAUAUACUGUAGAUCAUCUGGUGCCUAUAUAACCUAGUUAGUUUAUUCUUAUUCCCUGAACUGAAUAUAUAAAGUUGUAUUACCAUAGCUAGUUAUAAGGCUGACUAUGAGCCAUAGACAUUAGAGAAUAAGAGCAUGCCAGACAGCUGCCGUAAUGCCAUUCCAGCACCCAGCCUUUCUCUCUGUGAAUGGCUGUGGUUUCCCCCUUUAUUCAAUCAGUCAUUGCACAGACUUGGGCAGUGAGCAGGCAACCGGCAGUUAAAAUAGCCAACAUUGUUCUGAAGACUGACUAAUGAAUGACAAAAAAAGGGGGAAAGAAGGCCGUGAGGCGGGAAGAGGAGGUGGUGAGGGGAGGUCAUCCAUUGUUCCUUUUGCCCAUUUUAUCCCUCGGUCUUCCCAUGGGAUGGUUGUUUGUUAUGGAGGGCCCAGUGCGGCUUUGUUAGCUAGCCUGCUUUGAGUUCAGUAAAGCUGGGAUGGUGCCAAAUCUCACCUCCCACACCGCCCCCGGGUCUCACUCACUUUAAUGUAAUACACAGAGGAAACAGAUCGAUGCUGAGGGAGAAGCCAGCUGUUUUCUUGGCCUGGUCUAAGGGUAUACUUUCCUCUGAGCUUCAUCCAGAUUUCAACACACUGGAUAAUUAUUCUCAGAACCCGUUGUGCGCUGGUCUUUCCUCUAUCAGAAGAGACACAUACCCUGGAUAAUAGACCGUCCUUGUAAAAUAACUGACAGUUUCUUAACUGACUUGUUUAGUUAAAUAAACAUUAAAUAAAACAAAAAAAAUGGACCGUGG